rnacentral:tRNA from 1 species
GGGAUUGUAGUUCAAUUGGUUAGAGCACCGCCCUGUCAAGGCGGARGUUGCGGGUUC